GCUGGGCACAGUGGCGCAUGCCUGUAAUCCCAGCAGCUUGGGAGGCUGAGGCAGGAGGAUCAGGAGUUCAAAGCCAGCCCCAGCAAAAGCAAGGUGCUGAGCAACUCAGUGAGACCCUGUCUCUA
rnacentral:sRNA from 1 species